ACGGGAGGCAGCAGUGGGGAAUAUUGCACAAUGGGGGGAACCCUGAUGCAGCAACGCCACGUGUGGGAAGAAGCAUUUCGGUGUGUAAACCACUGUCGUGAGGGAAUAAUGCUUGAUUUCGGUCAAGUUGAAUGUACCUCGAAAGGAAGCACCGGCAAACUUCGUGCCAGCAGCCGCGGUAAUACGAGGGGUGCAAGCGUUGUUCGGAACCACUGGGCGUAAAGGGAGCGUAGGCGGAGACGCAAGCAGUCUGUACAAUACCGGGGCCCAACCCCGGACCUGCAGACUGGACUGUGUCUCUUGGAUAGUUCAGGGGCAGGCGGAAUUCCUGGUGUAGCGGUGGAAUGCGUAGAGAUCAGGAAGAACACCGAUUGCGAAGGCAGCCUGCUGGGGACUCAUCGACGCUGAUGCUCGAAAGUGCGGGUAUCAAACAGGAUUAGAUACCCUGGUA
rnacentral:rRNA from 1 species